UACGGAGGGGACUAGCGUUGUUCGGAAUUACUGGGCGUAAAGCGCACGUAGGCGGACUGUUAAGUCGGGGGUGAAAUCCCGGGGCUCAACCCCGGAAUGGCCUUCGAUACUGGCGGGCUUGAGGUCUGGAGAGGUGAGUGGAAUUCCGAGUGUAGAGGUGAAAUUCGUAGAUAUUGGGAGGAACACCAGUGGCGAAGGCGGCUCACUGGCCAGAUACUGACGCUGAGGUGCGAAAGCGUGGGGAGCAAACAGG
rnacentral:rRNA from 1 species